GACGAACGCUGGCGGCGUGCCUAACACAUGCAAGUCGAGCGAACAGACCAGGAGCUUGCUCGUCUGACGUUAGCGGCGGACGGGUGAGUCACAUGUGGAUAACCUCCCUAUAUGACUGAGAUCAUCUCGGGAAACGGGCGCUUAUACCGGAUAAUAUCUUGCACCGCAUGGUUCAAUAGUGAAAUUCGGUUUUUCUGUCACUUAUAGAUGGAUCCGCGCCGCAUUAGCUAGUUGGUAAGGUAACGGCUUACCAAGGCGACUAUGGGUAGCCGACCUGAGAGAGGGGUCGGCGACAUGGGAGGGUAGCCGGGUACAUGACUCCUGCGAUAGGCACCAGUAGGGAAUCGUACGCAAUGGGGGAGAGUCUUACGGAGCGACGCGGAGUGAGUGAUGAAGAUGUCCGGAUCGGGAUACUCUGUUAUUGGUUGAAAACAAAUGUGGAAUUAACUGUGCAGGUCUUGACGGUACCUGGUCAAGAAGCCACGGCUAACUACGUG
rnacentral:rRNA from 1 species